AUGAACGCUAGCUACAGGCUUAACACAUGCAAGUCGAGGGGCAUCAGGAAGAAAGCUUGCUUUCUUUGCUGGCGACCGGCGCACGGGUGAGUAACACGUAUCCAACCUGCCCUUUACUCGGGGAUAGCCUUUCGAAAGAAAGAUUAAUACCCGAUGGCAUAAUGAUUCCGCAUGGUUUCAUUAUUAAAGGAUUCCGGUAAAGGAUGGGGAUGCGUUCCAUUAGGUUGUUGGUGAGGUAACGGCUCACCAAGCCUUCGAUGGAUAGGGGUUCUGAGAGGAAGGUCCCCCACAUUGGAACUGAGACACGGUCCAAACUCCUACGGGAGGCAGCAGUGAGGAAUAUUGGUCAAUGGGCGCUAGCCUGAACCAGCCAAGUAGCGUGAAGGAUGAAGGCUCUAUGGGUCGUAAACUUCUUUUAUAUAAGAAUAAAGUGCAGUAUGUAUACUGUUUUGUAUGUAUUAUAUGAAUAAGGAUCGGCUAACUCCGUGCCAGCAGCCGCGGUAAUACGGAGGAUCCGAGCGUUAUCCGGAUUUAUUGGGUUUAAAGGGAGCGUAGGUGGACUGGUAAGUCAGUUGUGAAAGUUUGCGGCUCAACCGUAAAAUUGCAGUUGAUACUGUCAGUCUUGAGUACAGUAGAGGUGGGCGGAAUUCGUGGUGUAGCGGUGAAAUGCUUAGAUAUCACGAAGAACUCCGAUUGCGAAGGCAGCUCACUGGACUGCAACUGACACUGAUGCUCGAAAGUGUGGGUAUCAAACAGGAUUAGAUACCCUGGUAGUCCACACAGUAAACGAUGAAUACUCGCUGUUUGCGAUAUACAGUAAGCGGCCAAGCGAAAGCAUUAAGUAUUCCACCUGGGGAGUACGCCGGCAACGGUGAAACUCAAAGGAAUUGACGGGGGCCCGCACAAGCGGAGGAACAUGUGGUUUAAUUCGAUGAUACGCGAGGAACCUUACCCGGGCUUAAAUUGCAGUGGAAUGAUGUGGAAACAUGUCAGUGAGCAAUCACCGCUGUGAAGGUGCUGCAUGGUUGUCGUCAGCUCGUGCCGUGAGGUGUCGGCUUAAGUGCCAUAACGAGCGCAACCCUUAUCUUUAGUUACUAACAGGUUAUGCUGAGGACUCUAGAGAGACUGCCGUCGUAAGAUGUGAGGAAGGUGGGGAUGACGUCAAAUCAGCACGGCCCUUACGUCCGGGGCUACACACGUGUUACAAUGGGGGGUACAGAAGGCAGCUAGCGGGUGACCGUAUGCUAAUCCCAAAAGCCUCUCUCAGUUCGGAUCGAAGUCUGCAACCCGACUUCGUGAAGCUGGAUUCGCUAGUAAUCGCGCAUCAGCCACGGCGCGGUGAAUACGUUCCCGGGCCUUGUACACACCGCCCGUCAAGCCAUGGGAGCCGGGGGUACCUGAAGUACGUAACCGCAAGGAUCGUCCUAGGGUA
rnacentral:rRNA from 1 species